CAGUAGCCGCGGUAAUACGGAGGGUGCAAGCGUUAAUCGGAAUUACUGGGCGUAAAGCGCACGCGGGCGGUCUGUCAAGUCAGAUGUGAAAUCCCCGGGCUUAACCUGGGAACUGCAUCUGAAACUGGCAGGCUAGAGUCUUGUAGAGGGGGGUAGAAUUCCAGGUGUAGCGGUGAAAUGCGUAGAGAUCUGGAGGAAUACCGGUGGCGAAGGCGGCCCCCUGGACAAAGACUGACGCUCAGGUGCGAAAGCGUGGGGAGCAAACAGGAUUAGAUACCCCAGUAGUCCCUGUCUCUUAUCA
rnacentral:rRNA from 1 species